UUUUUGAGCAGGGGACUAUAGCUAUUAGAACUGAGGUCGUGAGAAAGAGAGGAGGAUGAAGAGAACAAUCUAACAUGUGAGAUCAAGAAUGAGAAUGAUAGGAUUGGGAGUAACAGUUGGUCCGAGAAUCUGAACUAGAGCAGGAGCAUGAUUAGGAUCCUUGGAGUGGAGGACAAGCACGAGUGUGGAGACAAUGAGGGACAACCUUGCAUUGGCUUCGCCAUGGAUUCAAAGAUGUAGUGAGCAAGAGUAGGGAGGGAUGAGUAAGCAAUUGGUCUAAAAUGGAAAUGAAAA
rnacentral:misc_RNA from 1 species